rnacentral:lncRNA from 1 species
CUGUAAUAUUGUACCCUCACAGUUUUCAACACACAAUUAUCCUCAUUCCAAUCACUAGAAUUCUUCACACAGAACUGCCAUUCACAUUACGGUGUUUCACACGAAUACAGACUCAUUUUCUCUACUGAAUUACAAUCAGAUUUUAGCAUUCAAUCUUUCUUCUUUUCAAAUAAUACCAAUCACAUUUCCAUUCUAUAAUUCACUUCUCAAUAUUCAGAAACUCUCAAUCCUCUUAUUCAAAGAAAAUAACAAACAAAAGAAAAGAGGUAGCACCAAGCUUACUCCGGCUCACAAUUAUCACAGCGAUGGCAUCCUAAUUAAUUUCUAUAACUCCUAUAUACUUUUUCUUGAUUCUCCAGAUUCUAAUCGUAAUUCUAUAAUUAACCACUUUUAAUAACUAAAUCACUCAUCCGUCCUCUUGAAUUUCCUAUUAUAUGGACUAUUAAUAUAUUUUACCAAUAUCUUUUAAAAACAAAUUAAUAUCUAUUCUACAUAGCCCCACUUCUAUCUGUACAGCGUCCUUGCAAACACUCAAUUGAUACCUAUCUAAAAAUUAUCUAAUAAAAUUCUACAAAAUUACUAGUUCCUUUGGCCCACCCAAUUGAUCAUUUGCUGCAUUAUUUAAUGUGCGUUCCACCAAAUUUGGUUCCAAUUAUAAAUCUUCUUCUUCUUCUUCCAGUCCAUCCAUUGGCUCCUUCUUCAACUGGUUUGAUAGAACUUCAUUAUACUCACCCAGCACACGGUCUUGAGCAUCCAGUUUGAAGAUCUGGAUAUUCCGAAGAUCCAAUUAUUGUUGCUGCUGACUCA